UGGCUCAGAGGAAGAGCACUGGCUGCUCUUCCAGAGGUCCUGGGUUCAAUUCCCAG
rnacentral:tRNA from 1 species